GAUGAACGCUGGCGGCGUGCCUAAUACAUGCAAGUCGAGCGAACGGACGAGAAGCUUGCUUCUCUGAUGUUAGCGGCGGACGGGUGAGUAACACGUGGAUAACCUACCUAUAAGACUGGGAUAACUUCGGGAAACCGGAGCUAAUACCGGAUAAUAUUUUGAACCGCAUGGUUCAAAAGUGAAAGACGGUCUUGCUGUCACUUAUAGAUGGAUCCGCGCUGCAUUAGCUAGUUGGUAAGGUAACGGCUUACCAAGGCAACGAUGCAUAGCCGACCUGAGAGGGUGAUCGGCCACACUGGAACUGAGACACGGUCCAGACUCCUACGGGAGGCAGCAGUAGGGAAUCUUCCGGAAUGGGCGAAAGCCUGACGGAGCAACGCCGCGUGAGUGAUGAAGGUCUUCGGAUCGUAAAACUCUGUUAUUAGGGAAGAACAUAUGUGUAAGUAACUGUGCACAUCUUGACGGUACCUAAUCAGAAAGCCACGGCUAACUACGU
rnacentral:rRNA from 1 species